UACAGAGGUCCCAAGCGUUGUUCGGAUUCACUGGGCGUAAAGGGUGCGCAGGUGGUCGGGUAAGUCUGAUGUGAAAUCCCGCAGCUUAACUGCGGAAUGGCAUUGGAUACUAUUCGGCUAGAGGGUUGGAGGGGGGACUGGAAUUCUCGGUGUAGCAGUGAAAUGCGUAGAUAUCGUAAGGAAGACCAGUGGCGAAGGCGGGUCUCUGGACAGUUCCUGACGCUGAGGCACGAAGGUCAGGGGAGCAAACGGG
rnacentral:rRNA from 1 species